rnacentral:rRNA from 1 species
CGGGGGGAGCAAGCGUUGUUCGGAUUUACUGGGCGUAAAGGGCGCGUAGGCGGUCAGCACAAGUCGGUUGUGAAAUCUCCGGGCUUAACUCGGAAAGGUCAACUGAUACUGUGCGACUAGAGUGCAGAAGGGGCAACUGGAAUCCUCGGUGUAGCGGUGAAAUGCGUAGAUAUCGAGAGGAACACCUGCGGCGAAGGCGGGUUGCUGGGCUGACACUGACGCUGAGGCGCGAAAGCCAGGGGAGCGAACGGGAUUAGAUACCCCGGUAGUCCUGGCCUUAAACGAUGGAUGCUUGGUGUCUGGAGUUAUAUAGUCUCCGGGUGCCGCAGCUAACGCGUUAAGCAUCCCGCCUGGGGAGUACGGUCGCAAGACUG